rnacentral:rRNA from 1 species
GUGAGGAAUUUUGCGCAAUGGCCGCAAGGCUGACGCAGCAACGCCGCGUGGGUGAUGAAGGCCUUCGGGUCGUAAAGCCCUGUCAGGUGGGAAGAAAGGCCUGGAGAGGAAAGGUUUCAGGUUUGACGGUACCACCAGAGGAAGCACCGGCUAACUCCGUGCCAGCAGCCGCGGUAAUACGGAGGGUGCGAGCGUUAUUCGGAAUUACUGGGCGUAAAGCGCGUGUAGGCGGGGGGACAAGUCUGAUGUGAAAGCCCUGGGCUUAACCUGGGAAGCGCAUUGGAAACUGUUUUUCUUGAGUACUGGAGAGGAAGGGGGAAUUCCCGGUGUAGAGGUGAAAUUCGUAGAGAUCGGGAGGAAUACCAGUGGCGUAGGCGCCCUUCUGGACGGUAACUGACGCUGAGACGCGAAAGCGUGGGGAGCAAACAGGAUUAGAAACCCUGGUAGUCC